AAGUCGUAACAAGGUUUCCGUAGGUGAACCUGCGGAAGGAUCAUUAUUGAAUAAAACUUGAACAGGCUGUUUUUUUUGCUGGCCCCUCCAGGGGGGCAUGUGCACGCUUGUCAUCUUUUGUUUCUCCAACUAUGUGCACACAUUGUAGGCAUCCCCUUUGUUUAUAAAGUCUUUUUGUGUGGAUUUGAUUGAGGAUUGCUAUGCUUUCCUUGUCAAAGGGGGCCUAUUUUUCAUUUACCUUGUUGUUGGUUUGAAUUGGAAAUGAUAAUAAAAUUUAUACAACUUUCAGCAACGGAUCUCUUGGCUCUC
rnacentral:misc_RNA from 1 species